UAAUAUUACGAUGACAUAUGGCAUUAA
rnacentral:sRNA from 1 species